rnacentral:rRNA from 1 species
UUAAGCGACUAAGCGUACACGGUGGAUGCCCUGGCAGUCAGAGGCGAUGAAGGACGUGCUAAUCUGCGAUAAGCGUCGGUAAGGUGAUAUGAACCGUUAUAACCGGCGAUUUCCGAAUGGGGAAACCCAGUGUGUUUCGACACACUAUCAUUAACUGAAUCCAUAGGUUAAUGAGGCGAACCGGGGGAACUGAAACAUCUAAGUACCCCGAGGAAAAGAAAUCAACCGAGAUUCCCCCAGUAGCGGCGAGCGAACGGGGAGGAGCCCAGAGCCUGAAUCAGUGUGUGUGUUAGUGGAAGCGUCUGGAAAGGCGCGCGAUACAGGGUGACAGCCCCGUACACAAAAAUGCACAUACUGUGAGCUCGAUGAGUAGGGCGGGACACGUGGUAUCCUGUCUGAAUAUGGGGGGACCAUCCUCCAAGGCUAAAUACUCCUGACUGACCGAUAGUGAACCAGUACCGUGAGGGAAAGGCGAAAAGAACCCCGGCGAGGGGAGUGAAAAAGAACCUGAAACCGUGUACGUACAAGCAGUGGGAGCCUCUUUUAUGGGGUGACUGCGUACCUUUUGUAUAAUGGGUCAGCGACUUAUAUUCUGUAGCAAGGUUAACCGAAUAGGGGAGCCGAAGGGAAACCGAGUCUUAACUGGGCGUUAAGUUGCAGGGUAUAGACCCGAAACCCGGUGAUCUAGCCAUGGGCAGGUUGAAGGUUGGGUAACACUAACUGGAGGACCGAACCGACUAAUGUUGAAAAAUUAGCGGAUGACUUGUGGCUGGGGGUGAAAGGCCAAUCAAACCGGGAGAUAGCUGGUUCUCCCCGAAAGCUAUUUAGGUAGCGCCUCGUGAAUUCAUCUCCGGGGGUAGAGCACUGUUUCGGCAAGGGGGUCAUCCCGACUUACCAACCCGAUGCAAACUGCGAAUACCGGAGAAUGUUAUCACGGGAGACACACGGCGGGUGCUAACGUCCGUCGUGAAGAGGGAAACAACCCAGACCGCCAGCUAAGGUCCCAAAGUCAUGGUUAAGUGGGAAACGAUGUGGGAAGGCCCAGACAGCCAGGAUGUUGGCUUAGAAGCAGCCAUCAUUUAAAGAAAGCGUAAUAGCUCACUGGUCGAGUCGGCCUGCGCGGAAGAUGUAACGGGGCUAAACCAUGCACCGAAGCUGCGGCAGCGACGCUUAUGCGUUGUUGGGUAGGGGAGCGUUCUGUAAGCCUGUGAAGGUGUGCUGUGAGGCAUGCUGGAGGUAUCAGAAGUGCGAAUGCUGACAUAAGUAACGAUAAAGCGGGUGAAAAGCCCGCUCGCCGGAAGACCAAGGGUUCCUGUCCAACGUUAAUCGGGGCAGGGUGAGUCGACCCCUAAGGCGAGGCCGAAAGGCGUAGUCGAUGGGAAACAGGUUAAUAUUCCUGUACUUGGUGUUACUGCGAAGGGGGGACGGAGAAGGCUAUGUUGGCCGGGCGACGGUUGUCCCGGUUUAAGCGUGUAGGCUGGUUUUCCAGGCAAAUCCGGAAAAUCAAGGCUGAGGCGUGAUGACGAGGCACUACGGUGCUGAAGCAACAAAUGCCCUGCUUCCAGGAAAAGCCUCUAAGCAUCAGGUAACAUCAAAUCGUACCCCAAACCGACACAGGUGGUCAGGUAGAGAAUACCAAGGCGCUUGAGAGAACUCGGGUGAAGGAACUAGGCAAAAUGGUGCCGUAACUUCGGGAGAAGGCACGCUGAUAUGUAGGUGAAGUCCCUUGCGGAUGGAGCUGAAAUCAGUCGAAGAUACCAGCUGGCUGCAACUGUUUAUUAAAAACACAGCACUGUGCAAACACGAAAGUGGACGUAUACGGUGUGACGCCUGCCCGGUGCCGGAAGGUUAAUUGAUGGGGUCAGCGCAAGCGAAGCUCUUGAUCGAAGCCCCGGUAAACGGCGGCCGUAACUAUAACGGUCCUAAGGUAGCGAAAUUCCUUGUCGGGUAAGUUCCGACCUGCACGAAUGGCGUAAUGAUGGCCAGGCUGUCUCCACCCGAGACUCAGUGAAAUUGAACUCGCUGUGAAGAUGCAGUGUACCCGCGGCAAGACGGAAAGACCCCGUGAACCUUUACUAUAGCUUGACACUGAACAUUGAGCCUUGAUGUGUAGGAUAGGUGGGAGGCUUAGAAGUGUGGACGCCAGUCUGCAUGGAGCCGACCUUGAAAUACCACCCUUUAAUGUUUGAUGUUCUAACGUUG